ACAAGGUAGAUUAACUAGACCGGUUCCUUGUGAGUUUUCCGGGUCUGCUAGCGAAGCAGAGUCGGGUUCGAGCAGCCCGGAACCCCCGUUGUGAAAAGAAAAGAGAACUCGCCGCCUGGUUGUUAAAUCAGGGGAAAAAAAGAAAAAAGACUGAAGUCGUCGAAAACGUAGCCGUUUCAGAGGAAGAAACAAAGAAUACAAAGCAGGAGAAGGAAGGGGUCUGCAAAGUGAAAAAUAGACGAGAAUCCACCUUAAUAAGCUUUGUAUGUGGUCUCUCUCUACACUUUGCAAUAGUUAGCUGCUCCACCGCUCCCCUCUGCUCCACCGCCUCACUGCUUCUGUUACGAACGAACAAACUAAAAACUGUUUAAUUCUUCUCUCUUUAGACCCUAGUUGGACUCUAAUGGUUGUUCAGGCACCUCCAAAGCCAAUUCUCAAUAAUUUUAAUGACGACGACGACGACGACGGGCCCAUAGUUUUCAAGAGAGGUGGUAACUCAACCUCUAAGCAAAAUCAACCAAACCUUGAAGCAAAGAAACCAUCUUCAUCUUCUCAGAAUUCCAAUGGUCAAAGCUUGAAUGCCUGUGAAGGCAAAUCACCCAUUUCAUCUUCCAAUGCAUCCCCUGUGAAAUCUCCUAUAGGGAGCCCUAAAGCAUCAGCUUCAUCUGCCAAGGUAUCCCCAAUGAAGCCACCAGUGACAUAUUCUAGAGUGCCAAGUUCUUCAAUUGAUCAGUCGAAGCAGGUAUCUAAACAGGUUGUCUCAAAUGCUGUCAAGGAGGAGACCAAACCGAUUGUGGAUGAUGAUGAUUCUGAGGAUGAUAAGCCCUUGAGUUCUAGAUUUAAGGGGAGCACAAACAAUGCCAACAAAGGGGUUACUGUACCUGCUUGUGUCAAGGAUGAACAUUCAGAUGAUGAUGAAGUCCCUUUAUCCUCGAGGUUUGCAGCAAAGUCAAAUGCAGGGUCAUCAAGCUGUAAGACUCUCAGUUCUAGUGAGAAGAAAUUGUUCGUUUCAAAAAUUCAGCUAAAUGGUUCUACUGCAAAGGACAAGCAACAAAAAUCUUCUGCUGUGCCAACUAAGAGACCUAUGGAUAAUAAGGUUCCUUCAAACCAGUCUUUUGCUAAAAAACCAAAACUUUCAGAUUUGUCUACAACGAAGCAAGUUACUGUCAAGGCUGAGCUGAAGGCAGAUGAUGAUGACCACCUUACAAUUUCCCAGAGAAUGAAGAAAGCAAGCUCCUCAUCUAACAAAUCAUUGUCUGUGAAGCAAAAGGUAACAAAAGUCGUUUCUCUGUCAUUCAAGAAGACGACCAAGAAUAACAAGAAACAAAUGAAAAAUUCAAAAUAUUCAAAGUCAACAAAAUUACAACCUGGCUCCAGUGAUGGGCAGAAAAAAUGGACGACCUUGGUUCACAAUGGUGUCAUCUUCCCGCCUCCAUACAAGCCUCAUGGGGUUAAGAUGCUUUACAAGGGGAAACCAGUUGAUUUGACUCCUGAACAGGAGGAGGUUGCAACCAUGUUUGCGGUGAUGAAAGAUACAGAAUAUGUUCAAAAACCACAAUUCCUUCAAAACUUUUGGAAUGAUUGGCGUACAUUACUUGGGAAGAAUCAUGUAAUACAGAAGUUAGAGGCCUGUGAUUUCAACCCUAUAUAUGAAUGGCAUCAGAAAGAAAAGGAGAAGAAGAAACAAAUGAGUACUGAAGAGAAGAAGGCUAUGAGAGAAGAGAAAUUGAAGCAAGAGGAGAAGUAUAUGUGGGCGAUUGUUAAUGGGGUUAAAGAGAAGGUUGGGAAUUUUAGAGUUGAACCACCUGGUCUAUUUCGAGGACGGGGAGAGCAUCCAAAGAUGGGAAAGCUGAAAAGCCGUAUUCGUCCCAGUGACAUUACUAUAAAUAUUGGAAAGGAUGCCCCAAUCCCAAAAUGUCCUAUUCCUGGUGAAAGUUGGAAAGAAGUGAAGCAUGAUAACACUGUUACAUGGUUGGCAUUCUGGAAUGAUCCCAUCAAUCCAAAAGAAUUCAAAUAUGUAUUCUUGGCUGCCAGCAGUUCCUUGAAGGGGCAAAGUGACAAGGAGAAAUAUGAAAAAGCAAGGAAGUUGAAGGACUAUAUACACAACAUCAGAACAGCUUACACAAAGGAUUUUGCAAGUAAAGAUAUUACCAAGCGGCAAAUAGCAGUGGCAACCUAUCUUAUUGAUAAACUAGCUCUUAGGGCGGGUAAUGAGAAGGAUGAUGAUGAAGCUGAUACUGUUGGUUGCUGCACAUUAAAAGUAGCAAAUGUUGAGUGCAUCCCUCCGAAUAAGUUGAAGUUUGACUUCCUUGGUAAAGAUUCAAUUCGAUAUGAAAACACAGUUGAGGUUGAGCUUCCUGUGUACAAGGCAAUUAGACAGUUUCAAGUUGCGAAAAAGCCAACUGAUGAUCUUUUUAACUCUCUGGAUACAUCUAAACUAAAUGCUCACCUAAAAGAACUCAUGCCUGGCCUUACAGCAAAAGUUUUUCGUACAUACAAUGCAUCUAUCACAUUGGAUGAAAAGUUAUAUGAGGAAACAGAAGAUGGUGACGUUGCUGAAAAAAUUGUCAUUUAUAACCAAGCAAACAAACAGGUUGCAAUCAUUUGUAAUCAUCAACGUACUAUUUCAAAAUCUCAUGAUGCACAAAUGUCAAGAUUGACCGAGAAACUUGAGGAACUUAAGGGCGCACUGAAGGAGUUCAAAACUGAUCUGGACAGGGCCAAAAGGGGGAAGCCCCCAUUGAAGGAUGCAGAUGGAAAGCAAAAGAGGAACUUGACUCCUGAAGCCAUAGAGAAGAAGAUAGCAACAACCAAUCAAAAGAUUGAGAAAAUGGAACUGUCCAUGAAGACCAAAGAGGAUCUGAAAACGGUAGCAUUGGGCACGUCCAAAAUUAAUUACCUUGAUCCUAGGAUUACAGUUGCAUGGUGCAAGCGGCAUGAAGUUCCUAUUGAGAAGAUAUUCAACAAGUCUCUCCUAGCGAAGUUUACUUGGGCAAUGGACGUUGACCCCCAGUUCAGAUUCUGAUCGUGGUAAGUAAUAAUUGGUUAUCCAAAUCAAUCUACCAAAUAAAAAAUAAAAUAAAAUAAAAAAAACAGAGAGAGAGAGAGAGAGAGAGACCAACCCUUCGUUCUUUUUUCUCCCUUGUUACAGUUUUUUCACAUUUUUGUCCUUUUAUUCUAGCGAUAAGUCAAUGUUGUAUGUUCGUCUAAUCUAAUUCUAGGGCGAAUUUGCCCUUUCUUCUUCUUCUUGAUGCUGUUUAAACCAUUUAAUUGCAGCAAGAAUUGUUUACUUCAGCCUUCAACAUUUGGAUGCUAACAAUAUAAAUGUAGAGUGUUUCAAAUUGAGACGGCAUAGAACAAAGAUGCUGGGACGGCUGAUGAGAACAACUUUUAACGUGUGAUGAACUCAUUGUGUUCUUGGUGUUCUUCACGUUGUGAUCUUGCGUGUGAUGGAGUCCAUGUAGUGCGUCAUUAUACAAUUUUGUCUUGAAUCUUUAUUGAAAUCGGAUAUUUGAAUAGGCUAAUAAUAAGAAGAGAUUGUGAGUUGAUGUUUGAUAUGAAGUUAAAAUAAUUGGAAUAAAUUAUUAUGA